AACUAUUAUGGAAGAACACUGUCUCUAUGUCUUGCUCCAAUACUGAAAUAGACAGCAGGUGACAGGGAGACCAUAGCUAUGAUUCAUUCACGAGUAUUGAGUAUUGUGUCUAAAAGUAAUUCCUGUGGCAACUCAACCACGGAGUGAUUUCACAUUUUUAAAUAGAUGGUAAAGUACAUCAGCGUGAUUAAACGCACUCCCACAAGAGCAAGUGUUUGUUCUCAAUAUCAUCAUGUAGCCUAUACAACUCUAAUUUGAGAGUCUAGAUGUUCAAAAACACCUGUCACAAUACAUUGAAUAUGAUUAUGUUUUGUUCAGUGGGAUGGUUUGUGAAAAGAUCAGGCUCUUGACUGAAGAAUAAAAUAUGAAGUGGUCUCCUUUCUCCUAUAGGAAUUUGACUGCCAACGUGAUUUUUUUUCCUAUUGGCUAGGAAUUUUUAAAGAUUAGAAACCAAUAGUUUGCAUUUUUAGAAAACUUGAUUAUUUUAUUCCUGUUGGAUUAUUCCUCAGGUUGUUGACUCUGAGGGGUCAAUUACAAACUGACAUGAGAAUUCCCCUUUUCUCUUACCAAUGGAGAAAACAGAAUGCAUUGAAAGAGAACUGUCAAAAUGAUGUACAGAUAAUGCACACAUACGUAUAUGCAUAUAUGCAUAUGAUUUACAUCAAAUACUGUUUUCUAGUUGGAUGAUACAAUGUGGUCUUUUGAAAAGUAUCUCUGUAAGGAAGCAUCCCAUGCAUAAUAGAAAGGGAGAAGAGAGAGAGAGGGAGAGAGAGGCAGAGGGAGAAACACACAUAUAUAUAAUGUUUGUAUAAAUUGUCCAAGGAAGAUACAUGCUUAAGGAACACUAAAAUUAUUAUAAACAUGAUGUAAAUUAAAAUGCAAAAUGUAAGCAUUACAUUUUAAAAAUAAAUUAAUGUUAUAUCUACUUUGUUCUAUUUCAUUAUAUUUCAGACUUUUUUAGUGUGGUCCUCUUUGGCAGGACCCAAGAUCCCGGGCUCAACUUUCCCACUCAUUUUCUACUUCCCAGAUGAAAAAUUAACUAGGUGAAAACGAAAAAAACUAUCCUUAAUAAAUAAAUGCUCACACACACACACACACACACAC
rnacentral:lncRNA from 1 species